UGGGGAAUAUUGGGCAAUGGGCGCAAGCCUGACCCAGCAACGCCGCGUGAGGGAAGAAGGUCUUCGGAUUGUAAACCUCUGUCCUUGGGGACGAAAAAAAUGACGGUACCCAAGGAGGAAGCUCCGGCUAACUACGUGCCAGCAGCCGCGGUAAUACGUAGGGAGCGAGCGUUGUCCGGAAUUACUGGGCGUAAAGGGUGCGUAGGCGGUUUGGCAAGUCAGAUGUGAAAUCCCCGGGCUUAACUCGGGUGGUGCAUUUGAAACUGCUGAACUUGAGUGCAGGAGAGGAAAGCGGAAUUCCUAGUGUAGCGGUGAAAUGCGUAGAUAUUAGGAGGAACACCAGUGGCGAAGGCGGCUUACUGGGAUGCAACUGACGCUGAGGCACGAAAGCGUGGGGAUCAAACA
rnacentral:rRNA from 1 species